rnacentral:misc_RNA from 1 species
GUGAAUCAUCAAAUUUUUGAACGCAAAUUGCACUCUCUUCGGAGAGUAUGCCUGUUUGAGGGUCAGGAUUAAUAAAAAUCGGAGUGUUGCUUCUGUGUCACGCUCCGGAGUUUGGGUCAUUUGAAUAUUCUUUAGGUUUUAAGUUGACGAAAAUUGAAUUUUUUUUCGCAUUGUAUAUGUACAUAAAU